UUUUGAGAAGUCUGUGUUUUAGUUUCUUCGCUCAUUUAUUGAUUAUUUGUUUUGUUAUUUGGUGUUUUUUGAGUUCUUUGUAUAUCUUGGAUAUUAAUGCCCUAUCUGAGGAGCAGGUGGCAAAGAUUUUCUCCCUUUCUUUUGACUUUCUCUUGAUGCUCUUAGUUGUUUCCUUUGUGUGAAGAAGGUUUUUAAUUUGAUGCCAUCCCACAAUUGAUAUUUUAUGUCUUGUACCUUAGGAGUCCUUGUUAAGGAAAUCAGUUCCUAAGCUGACAUGUUGGUUGGAGUGUUGGGCCUACCUACAUUUUCUUCUAAGAGGUACAAAGUUUCUGGUCUAAUUUCUAGAUCUUUGAUCCAUCUUCAUUUGAUUUUUGUGGAGGGUGAGAGAUGGGGGUUAAAUUUUAUUAUACUACAUAUAGAUUUCCAGUUAUCCCAGCACCAUUUGUUUAAAAGGCCAUCUUUUCUCUAAUGUAUAUUUUUAACACCUUUGUCUAGCAUCAUAUAACUGGAUUUAUGUGGUUUUGUCCCUGUGAAAUGACCUGAUUUUGAAUCACCAUCUUUCCACAGUUACUUCCUUUAUAAAACAUAGAUGAGAAUGAGAUGGAAUGGAAGCCAUCUAAUAUAGAUGAUCUCUGAAUUAUGAUGGUUCAACUUAACAGUUUAUCCAUGGUGUAAAAAUGAUACACAUUUAGUUGAAUCUGUACUUUGAAUUUUUUUUAAUAUUUAUUUUUUAGUUGUAGUUGGACACAAUACCUUUAUUUCACUUACUUAUUUUUAUGUGGUACUGAGGAUUGAACCCAAGUUCUUGCAUGUACAAGAUGAGUGCUCUCCUGCUGAGCCACAGCCCCAGCCCCUGGACUUUGAAUUUUAUCUUUUGC
rnacentral:lncRNA from 1 species